rnacentral:lncRNA from 10 species
GUGGACUUUAAAAACUAAGUGCAUUUUCAUGUCCUACACAUACAGUGAUCUCUGACCUGGAUGUAGUCCUUCUAAGAACCUUGUGUCACUAUUAUCUUUGAUGGGUUUUUUCUUCUAUGAUUACUUGCUUAUCUGUCACCUUUGAAGGUGCCAGCUUGGGUAAUCUUUUUUUUUCUUCUGUCUCUAUGGUGUUUUGUGCACAUACUCCUAUCAUGACUCUAUCACAAAAGGCUGCCAUUAUCUGCUCAUGUUUCUGUCACCUCCACUAGACUAUGAGCUUCUAUAGAUUAAAGAAGAUUAUAGAAGAUGGGGCCUAGAUCACUUUUUCUCUACCCAA